UACAGAGGGGGCAAGCGUUGUUCGGAAUUACUGGGCGUAAAGGGCGCGUAGGUGGCCUUCUAAGUCGAACGUGAAAUCCCCGGGCUCAACCCGGGAACUGCGUCCGAUACUGGAUGGCUUGAGUUUGGGAGAGGGAUGCGGAAUUCCAGGUGUAGCGGUGAAAUGCGUAGAUAUCUGGAGGAACACCGGUGGCGAAGGCGGCAUCCUGGACCAACACUGACGCUGAUGAGCGAAAGCCAGGGGAGCAAACGGG
rnacentral:rRNA from 1 species